GACGGAGGAUGCAAGCGUUAUCCGGAAUUAUUGGGCGUAAAGCGUCCGCAGGUGGCUGUUCAAGUCUGCUGUCAAAGCGCAGAGCUUAACUCUGUACAGGCGGUGGAAACUGAAGAGCUAGAGUAUGGUAGGGGUAGAGGGAAUUCCCGGUGUAGCGUUGAAAUGCGUAGAUAUCGGGAAGAACACCAGUGGCGAAAGCGCUCUACUGGGCCAUAACUGACACUGAGGGACGAAAGCUAGGGGAGCGAAUGGG
rnacentral:rRNA from 1 species